CCUACGGGGGGCAGCAGUAGGGAAUAUUGGACAAUGGGCGAAAGCCUGAUCCAGCAAUGCCGCGUGAGUGAUGAAGGCCUUAGGGUUGUAAAGCUCUUUUACCCGGGAUGAUAAUGACAGUACCGGGAGAAUAAGCUCCGGCUAACUCCGUGCCAGCAGCCGCGGUAAUACGGAGGGAGCUAGCGUUGUUCGGAAUUACUGGGCGUAAAGCGCACGUAGGCGGCGAUCUAAGUCAGAGGUGAAAGCCCGGGGCUCAACCCCGGAACUGCCUUUGAGACUGGAUUGCUAGAAUCCGGGAGAGGUGAGUGGAAUUCCGAGUGUAGAGGUGAAAUUCGUAGAUAUUCGGAAGAACACCAGUGGCGAAGGCGGCUCACUGGACCGGCAUUGACGCUGAGGUGCGAAAGCGUGGGGAGCAAACAGGAUUAGAUACCCCAGUAGUC
rnacentral:rRNA from 1 species